rnacentral:rRNA from 1 species
UUUGGUUAAGUUAGAAAGGGCGCACGGUGGAUGCCUUGACACUAGGAGUCGAUGAAGGACGGGACUAACGCCGAUAUGCUUCGGGGAGCUGUAAGUAAGCUUUGAUCCGAAGAUUUCCGAAUGGGGAAACCCACCAUACGUAAUGGUAUGGUAUCCUUGCCUGAAUACAUAGGGUAAGGAAGACAGACCCAGGGAACUGAAACAUCUAAGUACCUGGAGGAAGAGAAAGCAAAUGCGAUUUCCUGAGUAGCGGCGAGCGAAACGGAACAUAGCCCAAACCAAGAGGCUUGCCUCUUGGGGUUGUAGGACAUUCUAUACGGAGUUACAAAGGAACGAGGUAGACGAAGCGACCUGGAAAGGUCCGUCGUAGAGGGUAACAACCCCGUAGUCGAAACUUCGUUCUCUCUUGAAUGUAUCCUGAGUACGGCGGAACACGUGAAAUUCCGUCGGAAUCUGGGAGGACCAUCUCCCAAGGCUAAAUACUCCCUAGUGAUCGAUAGUGAACCAGUACCGUGAGGGAAAGGUGAAAAGCACCCCGGAAGGGGAGUGAAAGAGAUCCUGAAACCGUGUGCCUACAAAUAGUCAGAGCCCGUUAAUGGGUGAUGGCGUGCCUUUUGUAGAAUGAACCGGCGAGUUACGAUCCCGUGCGAGGUUAAGCUGAAGAGGCGGAGCCGCAGCGAAAGCGAGUCUGAAUAGGGCGUUUAGUACGUGGUCGUAGACCCGAAACCAGGUGAUCUACCCAUGUCCAGGGUGAAGUUCAGGUAACACUGAAUGGAGGCCCGAACCCACGCACGUUGAAAAGUGCGGGGAUGAGGUGUGGGUAGCGGAGAAAUUCCAAUCGAACCUGGAGAUAGCUGGUUCUCCCCGAAAUAGCUUUAGGGCUAGCCUUAAGUGUAAGAGUCUUGGAGGUAGAGCACUGAUUGAACUAGGGGUCCUCAUCGGAUUACCGAAUUCAGUCAAACUCCGAAUGCCAAUGACUUAUCCUUAGGAGUCAGACUGCGAGUGAUAAGAUCCGUAGUCAAGAGGGAAACAGCCCAGAUCGCCAGCUAAGGUCCCAAAGUGUGUAUUAAGUGGAAAAGGAUGUGGAGUUGCUUAGACAACUAGGAUGUUGGCUUAGAAGCAGCCACCAUUUAAAGAGUGCGUAAUAGCUCACUAGUCGAGUGACUCUGCGCCGAAAAUGUACCGGGGCUAAAUACACCACCGAAGCUGCGAAUUGAUACCAAUGGUAUCAGUGGUAGGGGAGCGUUCUAAGUGCAGUGAAGUCAGACCGGAAGGACUGGUGGAGCGCUUAGAAGUGAGAAUGCCGGUAUGAGUAGCGAAAGACGGGUGAGAAUCCCGUCCACCGAAUGCCUAAGGUUUCCUGAGGAAGGCUCGUCCGCUCAGGGUUAGUCAGGACCUAAGCCGAGGCCGACAGGCGUAGGCGAUGGACAACAGGUUGAUAUUCCUGUACCACCUCUUUAUCGUUUGAGCAAUGGAGGGACGCAGAAGGAUAGAAGAAGCGUGCGAUUGGUUGUGCACGUCCAAGCAGUUAGGCUGAUAAGUAGGCAAAUCCGCUUAUCGUGAAGGCUGAGCUGUGAUGGGGAAGCUCCUUAUGGAGCGAAGUCUUUGAUUCCCCGCUGCCAAGAAAAGCUUCUAGCGAGAUAAAAGGUGCCUGUACCGCAAACCGACACAGGUAGGCGAGGAGAGAAUCCUAAGGUGUGCGAGAGAACUCUGGUUAAGGAACUCGGCAAAAUGACCCCGUAACUUCGGGAGAAGGGGUGCUUUCUUAACGGAAAGCCGCAGUGAAUAGGCCCAAGCGACUGUUUAGCAAAAACACAGGUCUCUGCGAAGCCGUAAGGCGAAGUAUAGGGGCUGACACCUGCCCGGUGCUGGAAGGUUAAGGAGAGGGGUUAGCGUAAGCGAAGCUCUGAACUGAAGCCCCAGUAAACGGCGGCCGUAACUAUAACGGUCCUAAGGUAGCGAAAUUCCUUGUCGGGUAAGUUCCGACCCGCACGAAAGGUGUAACGAUUUGGGCACUGUCUCAACCAGAGACUCGGUGAAAUUAUAGUACCUGUGAAGAUGCAGGUUACCCGCGACAGGACGGAAAGACCCCGUGGAGCUUUACUGUAGCCUGAUAUUGAAUUUUGGUACANNUGUAUUGAAAUUCUAACCUACGGGUCUUAUCGACCCGGGAGACAGUGUCAGGUGGGCAGUUUGACUGGGGCGGUCGCCUCCUAAAGUGUAACGGAGGCGCCCAAAGGUUCCCUCAGAAUGGUUGGAAAUCAUUCGUAGAGUGCAAAGGCAUAAGGGAGCUUGACUGCGAGACCUACAAGUCGAGCAGGGACGAAAGUCGGGCUUAGUGAUCCGGUGGUUCCGCAUGGAAGGGCCAUCGCUCAACGGAUAAAAGCUACCCCGGGGAUAACAGGCUUAUCUCCCCCAAGAGUCCACAUCGACGGGGAGGUUUGGCACCUCGAUGUCGGCUCAUCGCAUCCUGGGGCUGUAGUCGGUCCCAAGGGUUGGGCUGUUCGCCCAUUAAAGCGGUACGCGAGCUGGGUUCAGAACGUCGUGAGACAGUUCGGUCCCUAUCCGUCGUGGGCGUAGGAAAUUUGAGAGGAGCUGUCCUUAGUACGAGAGGACCGGGAUGGACGCACCGCUGGUGUACCAGUUGUUCUGCCAAGGGCAUAGCUGGGUAGCUAUGUGCGGAAGGGAUAAGUGCUGAAAGCAUCUAAGCAUGAAGCCCCCCUCAAGAUGAGAUUUCCCAUAGCGUAAGCUAGUAAGAUCCCUGAAAGAUGAUCAGGUUGAUAGGUUCGAGGUGGAAGCAUGGUGACAUGUGGAGCUGACGAAUACUAAUAGAUCGAGGACUUAACCAUAUAA